UAGAUUGACCCUAGUCUGGUUGUAUUUGGCAGAUGAGCUCCAGAUGCUCCUUUGUACCGAGGGACACGGGACCACGUAACGGUUGGGGUCCGCUUUCCUCCCCAGCAGCUACUCGGGUGUCGGUGUUGUUACAAUGUUGCCGUGGCGACGGACAGGAAGCAGGAUGUCGUGCGCCUCGCAACAAAGAUCGUCGACGGUGUUUGCGGGCGACUAACUCUGUCAUCGUCUUACCAGCUCGGAGCUCGCGUUGCCUUUCAUGUGUUCCAGAAAGGAGUGUCGAGGUCCACGCGCUUCCUCGAAAGCGGCCACAGCGUGACUUUGUUCCCACGGAAACGUAACCGCGCAGGUAUUUGUGUCACUCACACACACACACUUUGACAACGAGCCUUAGAUCAGAGCAGACACAUGGUCGCAUACAGAGAGGACAGAGGGAUGAUGCUGCUGCCGUAGGAGAGCGCGACCCCAAAUGACCUGUGACAUGAAAAAUUAAUUCUAGGCUAUAAGACGGAGAUAACUGCGUACUCGCAUUGUACUUGUACUUCUGGCGCAAACGAGUAGCAUUUUUAGUAUAUGUGUACGGGCCAAGUGUUUGCGCACUUUAUUUUCUAAAGAGUAUUAUUUCUACCAAAGGUUCCGCCUCGCCAAAAGGCCUAACGCAAUAGUGGUUAUGCCAAUGUCAUUAAAUAUCUUGUAGUAUAUAAAUCCAAAAAGUGAAAUACAAGUUAACACGAUAUCAAUCUAGUGUUGCUUCAAUGUAGUAUUUAGUUAAGAAGUAAUGUGCAAUGUCAAGCGAUAUGUUUUAAUCUAGGGCAAGUCGUUCAAAACAAAUGUGUAGCAACCGUUAGUGAAAUACAUACGUGGAAAAUGUAAUGUUGGGGAUCAUUUAAUGUAGUAAUGAACGAAUGAACGUGUUUAUCUGUCUGCGUCGCACAAAAUGUGGUCUGAACGCGGGGCUUUGUCCCCGAUUAAUGAGCCACAUUCUAAGUACCGAGUAAGUAAAAAAAAACACGAAGCGAUCUGUAUUUAUGUAUGUAUUUGUUGAUAGAUGUAUUUAUUUUUUGAUUGAUUGAUUGAUUGAUAAGUUAAAAAAAUCCAUUCUUCUGUCGCCCGUCGCAUCCAAAUGUACUUUGGCAUUUAUUUAAUGUAAAAACGUGUCACGUGUGAGCUACUGCUGGACUGUAAUCCAAAAAAAAAAAAAAAUCACUAAAUAGGGUGAGUAGUGAUCAGAAUUAUUUAAAUGCUGGAAAAUUCAAAGUACGUAUUUAUUAAUGUAUUUAUAGUGUAAUAAAAAUAUAUACUAAGUAUUUUAGAUAGCAAUGAAAUGCGAUACGUAGUUGAUUUAUUUCUACCACAGAAAAAUAAAAAGAACGGAGUCGACUCAUCUCCUAAGUGUAAAAUGUUGUUUUAUUUAGAUGUUUUAUACUGUGCAACAGUAACAAUACAAUAACGUGUCCAUACAGUCGAGCGAUACAAAUACGGGAGACAUCAAAACACGGUGAAGUGAGCGUGAAAUGGGAGCCCAAGUAAUUCGUUCCGAACAAAAGGGUAGAGUCGGAGAAAUGACGUCAUCGCUGAUUAAAUAUGCAUUUUAGUUUCUAUUUACACGUGGAUUCUCUAAAGUCGCUCAACUGGGAUGAUUCCACUGCGGCUACAAGAAAGAAAGCAAGGGCAUUUGAUGUGUGUUUUAUGUAUUCUUGUUCCAUGAAGCCAGAAGCAGAGAGAGGAUUUGUCUUUCUUUUCCAAAAAAAAUGUAUAGGCUAAAAAAUCCCAGCACGCAUGAAGGAGCUACUCAUGAUACACACGUAGAAGAAAAAAAAAAACCAAAACUGAAAGGCAAAUCUAAACGUGGAUUCUUUUCAGUCGCUUUUGUAAAAUAAAGAUGCAGCUUUUCAAGGAAGAAGGGACAGUGUGUCCUUCCCUCCAAAGUCCUUUUCUUUUCUUUUCUUUCACGGUAAAAUCCACUACGUUUAAAUCUUUACAUGUGAUGUUUUGUGUUUAUAUAUAUUCAUAACAACAAAAGAGAGAGAGAGAUACAACAUUGUCUAGACAAUGGGACUACGUUGGCAUGGAAACGGUGGCGGCAGAGUCGUGCGUCAUCCGGAGUUGGUGGACGAGCCGUUCAGGGACACCUUCCGCGGCUUGUUGACGCCGCCGGGGCUGAAGUGGGUGAAGGACCGACUGGGGGUCGGGGGAGCACCAGCAGUAGCAGCAGCAGCAGCAGGAGGAAGAGGAGCAGCAGCAGCGGGACUUCCGUUGACGUUGCCGUGCGGAUGAGGAGACUGCGCGGGAGUGGCGGGGCUCGGCAGGGAAGAGGAGGCGGACGGAGCCCCGGCGGGACUCCCGGCUUUGUCGCUGGCGGAGUCGCUCUCCGGUCCGGAUCUGCUGGCGCUGUCGCGACUCUCCCGCUGCUUGUGGCCGACCUUCAUCUUCUUGCAGUUGGGUCGGACUCGGUACUUGAGCGGCAGAGGACCGUUCUGUGGACGACAGUGAAGAAAAGUGCGCAUGGGUACGGGAACUAGGCAAAGUGCUAGCUAAUGUAUGCAGGUGUCCCGUCAGAGCCAGGUGCCGGCAGCAGCCCCAUAAAGAGCAGCGGGCCUCCUGAAGCGGCAGCUCCAGCGGCAGCCUCCUCGGACGAAGACUUCGAGGACAAAGACGAAGGAGUCUUGCAGGAGUCUGGCGGGGAG